ACUGCUCAGUAACACGUAGCUAAUCUACCCUUAAGUCAGGGAUACCCUCGGGAAACUGAGGUUGAUACCUGAUAGAAAAUAAUUUCUGGAAUGAGUUAUUUUUCAAACUUGAGCUUAAGGACGAGGCUGCGGCUGAUUAGGUAGUUGUUGGUGUAAAGGACUAACAAGCCAAUGAUCAGUAAGGGCUCUUAGCGGAGAGGCCCUGAGAAGGAAUCUUAGACACUAUUCCUAGCCUUACGGGGUGCAGCAGUCGAGGAAAUUUUACAAUGCUCGAAAGAGUGAUAAAAUGAGUCAGAGUGUUUUCUUUUAGAAAACUUUUGUCAGUUGCAAAAAGACUGGCGAAUAAGGACUGGGCAAGACCGGUGCCAGCCGCCGCGGUAAUCCCGGCGGUCCAAGUCGCAUCCACAAUUAUUGGGUCUAAAACAUUCGUAGCUUGUUUUGUAAGUCUCUUGUGAAAUCUGGCAUCUUAAGUGUCAGGCGUGCAAGAGAUACUGCAUUGCUAGAGACCGGAAGACGCAAAGAGUAUGAUUGAGGUAAUGGUAAAAUAUGUUAAUCUUAAUCAGACUAACAAUUGCGAAGGCACUUUGCGAGUACGGAUCUGACAGUAAGGAAUGAAGGCUAGGGGCGCAAAAGGGAUUAGAUACCCCUGUAGUCCUAGCAGUAAACACUGCUCACUAAACAUUAGUGCCUCCUCGAGAGGCAUUAGUGCUGUAGAGAAGUCGAAGAGUGAGCUACCUGGGAAGUAUAGUCGCAAGACCGAAACUUAAAGGAAUUGGCGGGGGAGCA
rnacentral:rRNA from 1 species